UACGGAGGAUCCGAGCGUUAUCCGGAUUUAUUGGGUUUAAAGGGUGCGUAGGCGGCCUUGUAAGUCAGGGGUGAAAGACGGUAGCUUAACUAUCGCAGUGCCCUUGAUACUGCAGGGCUUGAAUGUACUAGAGGUAGGCGGAAUGUGACAAGUAGCGGUGAAAUGCAUAGAUAUGUCACAGAACACCAAUUGCGAAGGCAGCUUACUAUGGUAUAAUUGACGCUGAGGCACGAAAGCGUGGGGAUCAAACAGG
rnacentral:rRNA from 1 species